rnacentral:tRNA from 1 species
UCCCUGAUGGUCCAGUGGUUAAGACUCUGCACUUCCACUGCAGGGGGGUAUGGGUCCCAUCUCUGGGAA